UUUCAGUGUGAAAAAAAGGAUUUAAAAGCAUGAUUCUUUAAAGGUGCAACACGUAAUGCAGCACAGCAGCAGUAUACUGUCUAAAAUGCUAAGAGUGCUGCCACUGAUCCCAAUAUACAGAGACAAACUGCUGCGAUUCUCACUUCCAUUUUUCUUUUUCUUAUUUUUUUUUUUUACUUGUACAACAUGGUGGAACUGAAAUUACAAGAUGGGUUGGCAUUUAGUGGUUGCAAUAUUUUGUGUGAUCUUGGUCACGCCAUGUUUGGACUGGUUCCCAUGUGUCUCCUAACAACUGAAAACUAAGGUUUACCAGGAGAAUUGAAAGCAAAGCAACUUCCUUCUUUGCAAAUCAUAAAAUACUGCUGGUAUUCGUUGGUACUUCUCAGUGUCUGGCAAAAUCGUCUCAUAUUUAUUACAGUGUUGGUACUAAUUGUUUGUAAAUUAUUUGCAUUAUUGAAUUUAAAAUAGAAUGCAGAAGAUUAUGGAAAAAUCUUGUCUUCUUCUGAUGUUAGUUGGAGGAACCUAUGCACUAGCCACAGUUCCAAAAACUAAAUGUGAUAUCCAGAUAGUAUCCCGUUGCACUUCUGUUACUGGAGGAACUGUAUACAUCAAACUGAUGGAUAAUGCCUUCGACUACAUUCUGGAUUUAUACAAGGAACUCUAUAAUGAAAGCGUAAUAGUGUUUAGUGCGGAGAGAGGACAUGUGACAAUAUGGGAACAAAAGGUAGAUUUUUUCAUCAGGACUGGGAUACUGAAGAUCACUGAUGUGGAGGAGGAUGAUGCAGGCGAGUACUCUCUAGAUAUCUUCACGCCAAGGGGAUACCUAGUGAAAACUCUGAUUUUCACACUCCAAAUAAAAGCACGAAGGAUUGACUUUGGGGUCUCACUCUCUGCACCAG